GAAAGGAGACCCGCAGCUAAUGGCUCGGCAGUGAUGCGCCAGGUGUGGGCCUCGCUCGAAUGGGGAGGAGAGUGUGAAAACAGAGAGACACACACACUGGGAAAGGGAGACACCCAGACACAGAGGAUGCAAAUGGAAUUCCGCACACAGAAAAGGGAGCGCUUAAGGCGCGCAGCGAGUUCCACAGGGGCAACAGGACUUGGUAUUUCUACAGAGUCAACGAAUUCUGCCACAAACGGCGUGUUCUAAUGAAAAGGAGCUGGCAAUCCGGCCCCCUGCUCUGGUAGUACGGAAGGAGCCCAGGUUAUUUACUGAGCAGCGGAAGAAGGAAGGAAAUUUCUAAUAGCGCGUGAAGCAAGGUAACCCUUCGAAAGCAAAGAGAGGUGACAGCCACCUUAGUGGAGUCCGCCCCGGUGCAUCUCUCCGCUGCAGCCCCGCCGACUUGCAGUCCUUCUCCUGCUGGGGCGAUCGGCUCAGAUGCGGCCAGUUCUUCGAGGAUUGGAAUUCUCUGAACUUCAAACGCUGUGGGUUUGGCUUCCGCCCGGCUAGGAGGGAUAGAGGGUGGCUGAGAAUCCUAGGGAGCCAAGGGGAGAUAAGUCGCGCCAGUCGUUUUAAAUGGAAUCUAAACCUUUGCUUGGGCCACCGAAUGUGGAUCCCCACGGAAACAGCUUCGCUUCGCAAGAAAAUCCGGCUUGGGAGAGAGGCGGCUGCGGUUGUGGGAGCUGUCUAAGUGACCCGAGGCCCGUGGGGCGUGGUCGGCAGUGGUCCUGAGCGGUCCAGAGCACCUUUGCACAUGGCUGGCUGAAAGGCAAGGGUGAAAGUCCAGGGACCUGCUUUCUCCCGGGGAGAAGGGGUGAAUGCGUCGUCUAGGGAAAGAAAAAGAAAUGAACUUUUCUUUCGUCAAAUGUAAGAACAAAGAGAGCAUCCUUCUAAAUAGUAA
rnacentral:lncRNA from 1 species